rnacentral:misc_RNA from 1 species
GCGUCAGAUUUGGAUAAGAGACAGGUGAGUCAUCGAAUCUUUGAACGCACAUUGCGCCCCCUGGCAUUCCGGGGGGCAUGCCUGUUCGAGCGUCAUUUAUACCAAUCUAGCCUGGCUAGGUGUUGGGCUCCGCCGUCUGGCGGGCCUUAAAACUAGUGGCGGUGCCCUUCGGCUCUACGCGUAGUAAUUUUCUCGCUAUAGGGUCCGGAGGGAUGCUGGCCAGCAACCCCAAAUUUUUCUAGGUUGACCUCGGAUCAGGUAGGGAUACCCGCUGAACUUAAGCAUAUCAAUAAGCGGAGG